rnacentral:rRNA from 1 species
AUUGAACGCUGGCGGCAGGCCUAACACAUGCAAGUCGAGCGGAGCGGCGGACGGGUGAGUAAUGCCUAGGACUCUGCCUGGUAGAGGGGGAUCACGUCCGGAAACGGGAGCUAAUACCGCAUACUAUCAGAAGAGCCUAGGUCGGGUCAGCUAGUUGUUGGGGUAAAGGCCUACCAAGGCGACGAUCCGUAACUGGUCUGAGAGGAUGAACAGGAACACUGGAACUGAGACACGGUCCAGACUCCUACGUGGGGCAGCAGUGGGGAAUAUUGGACAAUGGGCGAAAGCCUGAUCCAGCCAUGCCGCGUGUGUGAAGAAGGUCUUCGGGUUGUAAAGCACUUUAAGUUGGGAGGCGUUACCAACAGAAUAAGCACCGGCUAACUUCGUGCCAGCCGCCGCGGUAAUAC